GAUGAACGCUGACAGAAUGCUUAACACAUGCAAGUCAACUUGAACUUCGGUUUUGGUGUCGGACGGGUGAGUGACGCGUAAAUAACUUGCCUCACAGAUAGGGACAACAUCUUGAAACGAAUGCUAAUACCUGAUAUUAUAAUUAUAUGGCAUCGUAUAAUUAUGAAAGCUAUAUUCGCUGUGAGAGAGCUUUUCGUUCCAUUAGCUAGUUGGAGAGGUAACGGCUAACAAAGGCGAGGAUGGGUAGCCGGCCUGGGAGGGUGAUCGGCCAAAAGGGGACUGAGACACGGCCAUUAUCCCUACGGGAGGAAGAAGGGGGGAAUAUUGGAAAAGGGAGCAAGAGUCUGAUACAGAAAUUCUGUGUGCAAGAUGAAGUUUUUCGGAAUGUAAAGUGCUUUCAGUUGGGAAGAAAAAAAUGACGGUACCAACAGAAGAAGUGACGGCUAAAUACGUG
rnacentral:rRNA from 1 species